AUUGGCUUUAUGAUUCAUGGAAUUUUAUCAUCAUAAAAGUAUAAUAAUGCCUUCGUACCAAUUCAUGCUUAGUGGACCAAAAGUGUUCAGAUUUUUUUUAUACUUUUGAAUAAAGAUGAACAGGACCAUUAAAUCUGCACCAAUCUCUUUUCUUGAAUCUCUUCACAAAUGAUAAGACAGCUGAUAAAGUUGUCUUAUAAUUUUUAUAAGUUGUCUUAUAGUUUUUAUAUUUUCUAAAAAUUUAAAAACUUCCUGUUUAUUUAAAAGCCCUACCUCAACGUUUCUGAUCACAUUUACCUUAAUACACACUGCUGAAAUCAUAUUUACAUAAACUGUAUAAAAAUUAAAAAAAAGACACAACUGCUUUUUUCUACUGUCUGACAUUAAGUCAGAAUGAACUUUAACCUUUUUAGGUCAGGUAAGCUGGCCUACUUUUUGUUAAAUCUUAGAAUAAUGAGAAUCUUUAAGAUGCUUUCAAAGUGUAUGCUGAUUCACAAAAUUAAGUUAAUUAAAAAAUAUGUUUUAGUGUUAAAUCUGCAAAAAGAAAAAGAUGUUUAAUAGAUGCUGGCUAAUUCUGGUAAAAUAUCAUCGCUGAUCAGAGUGAAAUGGUUCCUGUACCAACAUGGGCUGAAAAGCCUUUCAGAGAAGAAGACAUCAUUACACCACAACAUAAAAGGUUACAGUUUGCAAGUACACUAAGAGAAACGACUUAAAUUCCUGGAGACAAAUCCUGCGUUCUCAUGAAAAAAUGUGUUUGGCCAUAAAGACCAUAGUUACAUUUGAGUGUUUCCCAAACAAACAGUAAAAUGAGGACAGAACACUGCACUGAGAAACAAAAGCAGCAUCUCUGAACAUCAACAAUUAGGUGAAAAGCCUGGGCACAAAUGGUUUCCAAAUGGACAGUGAGCUACAGAUUAUUGUCAAUGUGGCUUGAGAACAACUAAGUCACUGCUUUGAAGUGGUCACACACCCUCAAAUCCUGUAAAAAAAAAAAAGACUGGGCAGAGCUGGAAAGUGUGAGAGAGAUAGGUAGCCUGCAAAUCUGACUCACAUCUAUUAGGAGGGAUUGGCCACAAUUCCAGGAAAUUAUCGUAAGAAGCUUGUGGAGAGAAAACCCAGGUUGCAAAUCAUGAACUUUCAAAGGUAGUUCUAGCAAAUACUAAAGGAAUCUCUUUUUUUUUGAUCUAGCGAAUGGAGAUCCUAAUCCAGACCUAAAACAGAAAGUUUCAUCUGUUUAGAUGUCAGAAAAUGAGAAAAAUAAGGUUAUACGUUUAUUUUAAUCCAAUGUAAACAAACUUCUAGUUUGACCAGUUUGCACUUUAUGUCAAUGUUAUCAAUUGUUUUGCUAUUUUGUUGCAAAUUAGAGCCAUAUUUUCGACCCUUCAGAUCUCCACUCUUUCAAACAUGAAAGUCUAUGUUGACAACACGUAAGGCACAGAUCACAUGAUCAAAGUCCUUCUGAAUACAUACUUUUCUAUAUUCCUUUUAAUUCAGCUCCUCCCACAACGAUUCUUACUUGUAAUCUGAACGGUUGAAGCAAAAACAUCUGGGCCGUAUGUAAAAACCCUGUAUAUACAGACAAUCUGGAAUAAAAUACUUUAAAUCAGUGUGGUCUUAAAUCAGCAGACCAAGUCAGACCGAUUUCCUCAUCAACAAACUUCAGCAAGCAUUUCAAGACAAGACAGUAUAAAAACAUAAUUGCUGUAGAUUUGCUUAUGGGAAAUACAUAUAAAGCACUCCGAAAGCACCAUUUAUUGGAAAAGGAUGCAUUCACGUUAAUAUAUUGAGCAUCUUGGUCAUCACUAACAGGUCAGACCUCAGUGAGUGGGUAAGUAUGACGAUCAAUUUUUAAUGACUUCAUGAUGAUUCAUUCUGUCUGCUGAGCUUCAUUACAUGAAGCUGUCUUACCUCAUUUGUUCUUCGUGCAGCUCGAGAUCACAGAGGGGACGCCUGACUUGGGCGUGACCUCUUACUGGACAGAUGCUGAAGGGAAUGUGGUUUUCAACCCAAAUACUCCAGAAGACAAAAUGAAAACCUCAGUGACAGGAAUGAAAACCCCAAAACGAAAAGAGUCAGUAGCUAGAGAUCCUGCUAAAAAGAUGGAAGACAAGAAGGAGGGCAGCAGUAGCAGGAGGUUGGAAACAGGAAAGAUGUCAGAUGAUGCCCCAGCGGAGACUAAAUCUUCAAAGUCAGACCGACCAAUGGAUGCUAAAGAAAUUCUGUUGGAGAAGUCAUCCUCUGCCGAGACAGAAGCCAAAACAGCCUGAAACACCACAGAAAAACUUUGUGACACAGAAAUUGAUUGUUAAAUGUUACUGAUAAUCUCCUUUUUAAGGUAAAAAUUGUAACCAAUUUUUGGAAUUCACACAUCUUUAUGUUGAGUUUUUUUCUUUUCUUUUGCAAUGGGGAAGAUCUUAUCUGUCAGAAAACAUAGGAAAGAGGCCUAAAGCAGAUGAACAGAGAAAACACAUAUGGCAUAUUCUUAUUGUGAAACACAGCACAAUUAGGCUAACUUAGUGAGGAAACAAGUUAGUUUCACAGUGUUUGUAUUUCAUUUUUGUUAACUUACUGCAAAACUGUGACAAUUGUAAUGAUUAAAUGGAAAAAAUAUUGUUACCACACAUCUGGAGUUGAUAAACUUUGGAAUUUUAUCAACCACAACAACACAGACAAACCUGGAUGGUUCACAAGGUUUACUUUGACUCUUUUGGGGAAAUGAAAGCAGCUACUUCCCUUCCCUCUGUAGAACGUGUGAAUAGGACAUUAUGUUUCCGUCUUUCUACAAAAGCCCAACACCAAGCUUCUUUUUCAUCCACAUCAACCUUUUUUUGUUUAGCAACAUGUCUGUGCAGUUGAUCUAAGCCUUGAAAAGCCGCCACCUGCAGGUCUCCUGUUCUGCAGCUGAGUAUGACUUCUGUUCUCGGGUCUGAAAGCAUAAAUGAAUUAACUCACUGAAAUGAAUUAACUCUUUACAUUUUGUUUCAUUGCACAAAUAAAUAUAAGUUUUGGGAUUCA